UUACCCUAAUCUCCUAAACACAACCGCCAUCAAACCAAUUCUCAUCGUCUCCACCAAAGAUGCAGUUCACCUUUUCCAUCACACACAAGUAGCCCUAACCCUAGAAAACUUAGAUAAACCACGAUCAACCAAGAUUCUUGAUUAAGUUAAGGAAGAUCAUCAAGAAAGAAAAGAGAAAAUCCUACCGUCACCACCUGAUCUCGGAUGGUACUCCACAGGAUCUUCGAAGGAACACGAAAGUGAAUGGGACCAUGAGACGGCUUGGUGUUCAUACGCUUACGGAGAAGCAUAUCUAUUCAAUGCGCAUGGUGGCGAGCGUCCACCACUACCUCCUUUGCGCAAAUACCUGAUCCACGUACCUGCCAAGCUUCCACCUAUGUUUUCGGAGUAGUCGGAUGGUUUCCUGGAUAAACCGAUCUGGAAUCCAAAAGAUUCUGAGCAAUUAAGUGCGGUCAAGGAAGAGAAGGCUGGGAGCUUGUACGUUUGUGGAUGCCCAGGGACUGGAAAAUCGAUUUCCAUGGAAAACGUGAAAAUGUCUCUGGCUGUUUGGGAUAAAGAGACAGGAGGUCAAUUCCCAGACAUUUUGGGCAUAAACUAUAUUUCUCUCUCACCUUCUUCAGAAAUUUUCAACAAGAUAAAACUUUAUCAAUACAUUGAUAUGAAUUGGCUCAUAUGAAACCAACUUAGUGCUUACAAGCUAAUGCCUUUGGCAGAUACUUGGAAAGAGUCAACCACAUAAGAAGGUCAACAACCAUUCUACACCCUGAAGUCAAAUUCAGCAAUUAUAUUCUCAAAAGCAAUAGUCAUCUGGCACAAAAAUGAUGUUGGUUAUUGUUGAUGAAAUGGAUUACUUGAUUACAAAGGACCGGGUGGUUCUCCAUGAUCUAUUUAUGCUAACAACAUUGCCCUUUUCCAAAAUUAUAUUGAUAGUUGCAGCUUCAUCUGGAGAUAUGAGGAAAACUCUUGGUAUCUGCAGGAACCUUUACUGAAGGAUGUUUUUGGUGAUUGGAAUUGAUAGAGAGAUUGAGAAGGAAACAUGUUGCAUUUUCCUGCUGUAGAAUAUUUUCAGCCUUAAAGUUAAAAAUUUGAAGGCUCCCAUGGUUGGUAUUGACAAAUUGGAGGUUAGAUGAGAGAGACUUUGUUAUUGAGUGGCUUUAUUGUCACAUUUGGAACGUAAGAGCACCAGCUUUGUUCAUUUCUACCUUCAAUGUUGUAUGUAACUUCAUUUUCAUAUUUGGAACUUAUGUAUAAACACUUAAUGCUGGACGCUUAUUGUUGGCCUGGUACAAAUAAGGUCAUCUAUUUUAACUUUACAUCAUCUAUUUAAUCAUAUA